rnacentral:lncRNA from 10 species
GUAAAGCGCCGGAGGAUUGGCUGGGGCGUCGGGAGAGAGGAGGCUCGAAACUACAUUUCCCAUGACGCAGUGAGAAUUUAAAACCAAAACAAUUGGACAGCACUUGUUUUGACAACUGUGCGGCACUGUGCCACGGGACCCUGGUCUUUGAAACCUUGGCGUGCGCGAGAAUUUCCCAGUGAGUUUGUUAAAAUGCAGAUUCCUCGGGUCUGCGUAGACAGACUGUGCCCCACGCUUUUCUAAGUCAGUUGUUUCUCGGGCUACCCUUUAAGAGACACUGCUGGAUGGCCUGGUGAAGAAAAUACAGAAACAGAUGGGUACAAGAACUAAGAAAACGGCUAAGAAAGUGUUUUGGUCCUGACUACUACCAUUUCGCUCUGUGAUUUGGGGCAAUUCACAUUGCCCUUUCUUCUUUGUCAAAAGACAAAAUCACAACAAACUUAGUUCAAAGAUUUUUUUUUUCUUAAGAGACGGACUCUGGCAAUGUUGCCCAGGCUGGAAGGCAGUGGCUAUUCACAGGUGCGGUCAUAGCAAUCAUGGCUAUCACAGGUGCAUCCUGGAACUCCUGGCCUCAAGUGAUCCUUCUGCCUCAGCCUCCGGAGUAGCUGGGACUUAAGGUGCGAUUCUAUAGAAUUGGGCAGUGCCUCAUACUAUAAAAUAUAAUGGUUGUUCCAAUGAGCUGAACAGGAGAACUUGGUUUUAUAGACAGAAAAGGACUGAGGAAAACAGGAACAGAGAACAAAAAGCGGAUUGGUCAUUUGGUAAUUUCAAAAUUACUUUUCUUGUAAAGGUUAAAGUGGAGGGGACUUAUCAUGCCACCUAAAACUUGCCUGUUUGGGAAUUUAGC